CAAUUUUCAGGGAAAGUAUCUUGAGUAAAGUGCAGUGAAACUCGUGCAUAUAAUUACUGAAUCAGCUAAUAACAGACAAAGUGUCGAUGACAUAAGUGAUUUAUUCAUGAAAAUCAGUUGGAUUCAAUAUUCAAAGUGAAGGUCUUAAGAAAUUGUCAAAUAUCGGACCAGAGGCUAAGUUAAAGGAAAGGGUCAAAGUGCUUGAUGAUGAACAAGAUCAUUUCUGUUGAAGAAAGAAGAUAUUCUGCAAAUCAACAACACACAUCCAAAAUACUUCAUAAUUGGUGGAAAGGAGGCUACAUCUAUUUCCAUUAUUUGGUUCAUUUACAUGCUCUUGAAACAUCCUGAGAUUCAAGAUAUGGUUGAAUAAGAAAUCAAAGAAGCAACAAACAUGAGAAACAAAUUCAAGAUAAGCUUCAUGUAACUUGGAACAAAACUCUCGCGAGUCUAUCCUGCAUCUCAGUGUGAUAGGGAUACGGAGCUAAUCCAUGAUCUAGCAGACUGCAGACUCGUAUUUGGUGCAACUAGACAAAUUGAAGUUAUACGAGGAUAAGUAAUGGACAAAUGUCUCAACAAGCCACACACGUGGACAAAUGCUAUAG